rnacentral:lncRNA from 1 species
AACAAGUUAUGCAUAGUAUUGUUAAAACAAAUUCGAAAUAUAAGGAAGACGAUUGUUCCGACUCAAAUGCCGAUGUUAAUUCCCUGGAUGUGUGUGUACACUGAAUACACAGAAUCCUUUUCCGCCAUACAACACACCCCACAUGUCAAAUCUCCGCUCAACCUAGCUCCCGCUUCACCAGUCAGUCAGCGGAAAACACUCACGAGAUUCACAACUCCGUCUCAACCCUGGCUCCUUUGUGAUGAUGAUUCAGAUACGGAACCAACAACAGAAGACACUGCUUACACCUAGCUCCGCGCUCCACAAAGUUCCAGAGAUCCGGGCGGAACCAGACUUCCUUCCAUUAUCCUGUAUACAGGAUAAGUCCGCAAUCUCUCCCUCCCACAGGAGAAGGUAACAAUAGUUCGCUCCGCAAUGUUCCAGAGAUCCGGGCGGAACCAGACUUCCUUCCAUUAUCCUGUAUACAGGAUAAGUCCGCAAUCUCUCUCCCUUAGACUAA